rnacentral:rRNA from 1 species
GGUUAAGCGACUAAGCGUACACGGUGGAUGCCCUGGCAGUCAGAGGCGAUGAAGGACGUGCUAAUCUGCGAAAAGCGCCGGCGAGGUGAUAUGAACCCUUGACCCGGCGAUGUCCGAAUGGGGAAACCCAGUGCAAUCCGUUGCACUAUCGUUAACUGAAUACAUAGGUUAACGAGGCGAACCGGGGGAACUGAAACAUCUAAGUACCCCGAGGAAAAGAAAUCAACCGAGAUUCCCCCAGUAGCGGCGAGCGAACGGGGAGCAGCCCAGAGUCUGAAUCAGCUUGUGUGUUAGUGGAAGCGUCUGGAAAGUCGCACGGUACAGGGUGAAAGUCCCGUACACGAAAGCACACAGGCUGUGAACUCGAAGAGUAGGGCGGGACACGUGGUAUCCUGUCUGAAUAUGGGGGGACCAUCCUCCAAGGCUAAAUACUCCUGACUGACCGAUAGUGAACCAGUACCGUGAGGGAAAGGCGAAAAGAACCCCGGCGAGGGGAGUGAAAAAGAACCUGAAACCGUGUACGUACAAGCAGUGGGAGCACCUUCGGGUGUGACUGCGUACCUUUUGUAUAAUGGGUCAGCGACUUAUAUUCUGUAGCAAGGUUAACCGUAUAGGGGAGCCGAAGGGAAACCGAGUCUUAACUGGGCGUUAAGUUGCAGGGUAUAGACCCGAAACCCGGUGAUCUAGCCAUGGGCAGGUUGAAGGUUGGGUAACACUAACUGGAGGACCGAACCGACUAAUGUUGAAAAAUUAGCGGAUGACCUGUGGCUGGGGGUGAAAGGCCAAUCAAACCGGGAGAUAGCUGGUUCUCCCCGAAAGCUAUUUAGGUAGCGCCUCGUGAACUCAUCUUCGGGGGUAGAGCACUGUUUCGGCUAGGGGGCCAUCCCGGCUUACCAACCCGAUGCAAACUACGAAUACCGAAGAAUGUUAUCACGGGAGACACACGGCGGGUGCUAACGUCCGUCGUGAAGAGGGAAACAACCCAGACCGCCAGCUAAGGUCCCAAAGUCAUGGUUAAGUGGGAAACGAUGUGGGAAGGCCCAGACAGCCAGGAUGUUGGCUUAGAAGCAGCCAUCAUUUAAAGAAAGCGUAAUAGCUCACUGGUCGAGUCGGCCUGCGCGGAAGAUGUAACGGGGCUAAACCAUGCACCGAAGCUGCGGCAGCGACACUAUGUGUUGUUGGGUAGGGGAGCGUUCUGUAAGCCGUUGAAGGUGGCCUGUGAGGGUUGCUGGAGGUAUCAGAAGUGCGAAUGCUGACAUAAGUAACGAUAAAGCGGGUGAAAAGCCCGCUCGCCGGAAGACCAAGGGUUCCUGUCCAACGUUAAUCGGGGCAGGGUGAGUCGACCCCUAAGGCGAGGCCGAAAGGCGUAGUCGAUGGGAAACAGGUUAAUAUUCCUGUACUUGGUGUUACUGCGAAGGGGGGACGGAGAAGGCUAUGUUAGCCGGGCGACGGUUGUCCCGGUUUAAGCAUGUAGGCGGAGGUUCCAGGUAAAUCCGGUACCUUUUAACGCUGAGGUGUGAUGACGAGGCACUACGGUGCUGAAGUAACAAAUGCCCUGCUUCCAGGAAAAGCCUCUAAGCAUCAGGUAACACGAAAUCGUACCCCAAACCGACACAGGUGGUCAGGUAGAGAAUACCAAGGCGCUUGAGAGAACUCGGGUGAAGGAACUAGGCAAAAUGGUGCCGUAACUUCGGGAGAAGGCACGCUGAUAUGUAGGUGAAGCCCCUGCGGGUGGAGCUGAAAUCAGUCGAAGAUACCAGCUGGCUGCAACUGUUUAUUAAAAACACAGCACUGUGCAAACACGAAAGUGGACGUAUACGGUGUGACGCCUGCCCGGUGCCGGAAGGUUAAUUGAUGGGGUUAGCGGUAACGCGAAGCUCUUGAUCGAAGCCCCGGUAAACGGCGGCCGUAACUAUAACGGUCCUAAGGUAGCGAAAUUCCUUGUCGGGUAAGUUCCGACCUGCACGAAUGGCGUAAUGAUGGCCAGGCUGUCUCCACCCGAGACUCAGUGAAAUUGAACUCGCUGUGAAGAUGCAGUGUACCCGCGGCAAGACGGAAAGACCCCGUGAACCUUUACUAUAGCUUGACACUGAACACUGGUCCUUGAUGUGUAGGAUAGGUGGGAGGCUUUGAAGCGUGGACGCCAGUCUGCGUGGAGCCGUCCUUGAAAUACCACCCUUUAAUGGCUGGUGUUCUAACGUAGACCCGUAAUCCGGGUUGCGGACAGUGUCUGGUGGGUAGUUUGACUGGGGCGGUCUCCUCCCAAAGAGUAACGGAGGAGCACGAAGGUUAGCUAAUCCUGGUCGGACAUCAGGAGGUUAGUGCAAUGGCAUAAGCUAGCUUGACUGCGAGAGUGACGGCUCGAGCAGGUGCGAAAGCAGGUCAUAGUGAUCCGGUGGUUCUGAAUGGAAGGGCCAUCGCUCAACGGAUAAAAGGUACUCCGGGGAUAACAGGCUGAUACCGCCCAAGAGUUCAUAUCGACGGCGGUGUUUGGCACCUCGAUGUCGGCUCAUCACAUCCUGGGGCUGAAGUAGGUCCCAAGGGUAUGGCUGUUCGCCAUUUAAAGUGGUACGCGAGCUGGGUUUAGAACGUCGUGAGACAGUUCGGUCCCUAUCUGCCGUGGGCGCUGGAGAAUUGAGGGGGGCUGCUCCUAGUACGAGAGGACCGGAGUGGACGCAUCACUGGUGUUCGGGUUGUCAUGCCAAUGGCACUGCCCGGUAGCUAAAUGCGGAAGAGAUAAGUGCUGAAAGCAUCUAAGCACGAAACUUGCCCCGAGAUGAGUUCUCCCUGAGACUUAAAGUCUCCUGAAGGAACGUUAAAGACGAUGACGUUGAUAGGUCGGGUGUGUAAGCGCAGCGAUGCGUUGAGCUAACCGAUACUAAUGAACCGUGAGGCUUAACCUU